CUGGUAGGCCUAUACGUGAGAGUUCUGCUCAGUGAAGUGGUUCCCUCUCUUCCCACAGGGAAGCUUAUUUACAGGCCUGGCACUGGGACGGAGAGGGUUGUUAAAGCUCAGAACCGCUGGAGAGGGAUUAUAGAAGCAAGAUCUGAUACGAAGUUGAUGCUACAACUGAGAACUCCAUAAGAGAUGGAUAGAGGCUAUGGCUCGCUACUUUUGAGGGCAUGAGCACACCGCUGGAGAUCUGCUGGACCAGGAACUACUGUAGGAAGACCCGGACCAUGAGGAGAUGGAGAAUGAGAUGGAACCUGAUCCCCAGCCAAUUUACAUGGGAUUUUCAAUUCU